GGAGCUAUAGCUCAGCUGGGAGAGCGCUUGCAUGGCAUGCAAGAGGUCGACGGUUCGAUCCCGUCUAGCUCCACCA
rnacentral:tRNA from 1 species